rnacentral:rRNA from 1 species
AUUGAACGCUGGCGGCAGGCCUAACACAUGCAAGUCGAGCGGAGCGGCGGAAGGGGGAGUGAUGCCUAGGAAUCUGCCUGGUGGCUGGGGGUAACGUACGGAAACGGGAGCUAAUACCGAAUACUCUCAGAUGAGCCUAGGGCGGAUUAGCUAGUUGGGUGGUGAAAGGCCUACAAAGGCGACGAGCCGUAACUGGUAUGUGAGGAUGAUCAGUCACACUGGAACUUAGACACGUUCCAGACUCCUACGGGAGGCAGCAGGGGGGAAUAUUGGACAAUGGGCGAAAGCCUGAUCCAGCCAUGCCGCGUGUGUGAAGAAGGUCUUCGGAUUGUAAAGCACUUUAAGUUGUGAGGCGUUACCAACAGAAUAAGCACCGGCUAACUCCGUGCCAGCCGCCGCGGUAAUUC